GCAAUUUGCAAAGGUCCAGUGUGUUACAUUAAUUGCUUCUACUCUUUAUUCUUAGCCAUUCUUUACUCGUUAGCCAUUCUUUAUCGCUAAACAUUUUUUACAUUAUUAACUAUUCUUUAGAAUUUGCUACUCUUUAACAUUAGCCGUUCGUUAUUCUUUAUUCUUAGCUACUCUUUAACAUUAGCCGUUCUUUUUUCUUUACUCUUUAC
rnacentral:lncRNA from 1 species